AGUGAACGCUGGCGGUAGGCCUAACACAUGCAAGUCGAACGGCAGCACAGUAAGAGCUUGCUCUUACGGGUGGCGAGUGGCGGACGGGUGAGGAAUACAUCGGAAUCUACUUUUUCGUGGGGGAUAACGUAGGGAAACUUACGCUAAUACCGCAUACGACCUACGGGUGAAAGCAGGGGAUCUUCGGACCUUGCGCGAUUGAAUGAGCCGAUGUCGGAUUAGCUAGUUGGCGGGGUAAAGGCCCACCAAGGCGACGAUCCGUAGCUGGUCUGAGAGGAUGAAUCGCCACACUGGAACUGAGACACGGUCCAGACUCCUACGGGAGGCAGCAGUGGGGAAUAUUGGACAAUGGGCGCAAGCCUUAUCCAGCCAUACCGCGGGGGGGAAGAAGGCCUUCGGGUUGUAAAACCCUUUUUUUGGGAAAGAAAAACAGCAGGUUAAUACCCCGCUGUUCUGACGGGACCCAAAGAAUAAGCACCGGCUAACUUCGUG
rnacentral:rRNA from 1 species